GACGAACGCUGGCGGCGUGCUUAACACAUGCAAGUCGAACGAAGUGGCGAACGGGUGAGUAACGCGUAAUCAACCUGCCCUUCAGAGGGGGACAACAGUUGGAAACGACUGCUAAUACCGCAUACUGAAGGAGGGGAUUGCGGCUGAUUAGCUAGUUGGGGGGGUAACGGCCGACCAAGGCGAUGAUCCGGAGCCGGGCUUAGAGGGUGGACGGCCACCUUGGGACGGGGACACGGCCCAGACUCCUACGGGAGGCAGCAGGGGGGAAUCUUCCGCAAUGGGCGAAAGUCUGACGGAGCAACUCCGCGUGAGGGAUGACGGCCUUCGGGUUGUAAAGCUCUGUUAAUCGGGACGCGGUACCGGAAUAGAAAGCCACGGCUAACUACGUGCCAGCAGCCGCGGUAAUAC
rnacentral:rRNA from 1 species